UUCCUUAUUGAGAAGGCGGUGAUCUCCCCAGGGUUUGAUGUCUUUGCCAAAAAGAACCAGGGAAUCCUGGAGUUCUAUGGUGAUGACAUAGCUCUGCUGAAGCUGGCCCAGAAAGUAAAGAUGUCCACCCAUGCCAGGCCCAUCUGCCUUCCCUGCACGAUGGAGGCCAAUCUGGCUCUGCGGAGACCUCAAGGCAGCACCUGUAGGGACCAUGAGAAUGAACUGCUGAACAAACAGAGUGUUCCUGCUCAUUUUGUCGCCUUGAAUGGGAGCAAACUGAACAUUAACCUUAAGAUGGGAGUGGAGUGGACAAGCUGUGCCGAGGUUGUCUCCCAAGAAAAAACCAUGUUCCCCAACUUGACAGAUGUCAGGGAGGUGGUGACAGACCAGUUCCUAUGCAGUGGGACCCAGGAGGAUGAGAGUCCCUGCAAGGGAGAAUCUGGGGGAGCAGUUUUCCUUGAGCGGAGAUUCAGGUUUUUUCAGCUGAGUAAAUCCGGGUCUCUAGGAUGCCAGAGGCAGCGCACACAAGCUGGGAAAUCCUCAGGGCUCCUACCAGCAGGACUGCCUCGCUGCCCCACCUCCCGCUCCUUGGCCUGUCCCCAGAUUCCUUCCCUGGUUGACUUGACUCAUGCUUGUUUCACUUUCACAUGGAAUUUCCCAGUUAUGAAAUUAAUAAAAAUCAAUGGUUUCCACA
rnacentral:misc_RNA from 1 species